UACGAAGGGGGCUAGCGUUGCUCGGAAUCACUGGGCGUAAAGGGUGCGUAGGCGGGUCUUUUAAGUCAGGGGUGAAAUCCUGGAGCUCAACUCCAGAACUGCCUUUGAUACUGAGGAUCUUGAGUAUGGGAGAGGUGAGUGGAACUGCGAGUGUAGAGGUGAAAUUCGUAGAUAUUCGCAAGAACACCAGUGGCGAAGGCGGCUCACUGGCCCAUUACUGACGCUGAGGCACGAAAGCGUGGGGGAGCAAACAGG
rnacentral:rRNA from 1 species